rfam:Flavobacteriaceae bacterium HSG9 contig11, whole genome shotgun sequence.
GACCUGAUAGCUCAGUUGGUAGAGCAUCUCCCUUUUAAGGAGAGGGUCCUGGGUUCGAGCCCCAGUCAGGUCA